rnacentral:rRNA from 1 species
CAUCGGAACGUGCCCAGUAGUGGGGGAUAGCCCGGCGAAAGCCGGAUUAAUACCGCAUACGACCUACGGGUGAAAGCGGGGGACUCGCAAGAGCCUCGCGCUAUUGGAGCGGCCGAUGUCAGAUUAGCUAGUUGGUGGGGUAAAAGCCUACCAAGGCGACGAUCUGUAGCUGGUCUGAGAGGACGACCAGCCACACUGGGACUGAGACACGGCCCAGACUCCUACGGGAGGCAGCAGUGGGGAAUUUUGGACAAUGGGCGCAAGCCUGAUCCAGCCAUGCCGCGUGCGGGAAGAAGGCCUUCGGGUUGUAAACCGCUUUUGUCAGGGAAGAAACGCUCUGGGCUAAUACCCCGGGGUAAUGACGGUACCUGAAGAAUAAGCACCGGCUAACUACGUGCCAGCAGCCGCGGUAAUACGUAGGGUGCAAGCGUUAAUCGGAAUUACUGGGCGUAAAGCGUGCGCAGGCGGUUAUGCAAGACAGAUGUGAAAUCCCCGGGCUCAACCUGGGAACUGCAUUUGUGACUGCAUAGCUAGAGUACGGUAGAGGGGGAUGGAAUUCCGCGUGUAGCAGUGAAAUGCGUAGAUAUGCGGAGGAACACCGAUGGCGAAGGCAAUCCCCUGGACCUGUACUGACGCUCAUGCACGAAAGCGUGGGGAGCAAACAGGAUUAGAUACCCUGGUAGUCCACGCCCUAAACGAUGUCAACUGGUUGUUGGACGGCUUGCUGUUCAGUAACGAAGCUAACGCGUGAAGUUGACCGCCUGGGGAGUACGGCCGCAAGGUUGAAACUCAAUGAAUUGACGGGGACCCGCACAAGCGGUGGAUGAUGUGGUUUAAUUCGAUGCAACGCGAAAAACCUUACCUACCCUUGACAUGUCAAGAGUCUUGCAGAGAUGUGAGAGUGCUCGAAAGAGAACUUGAACACAGGUGCUGCAUGGCCGUCGUCAGCUCGUGUCGUGAGAUGUUGGGUUAAGUCCCGCAACGAGCGCAACCCUUGUCAUUAGUUGCAACGAAAGGGCACUCUAAUGAGACUGCCGGUGACAAACCGGAGGAAGGUGGGGAUGACGUCAGGUCCUCAUGGCCCUUAUGGGUAGGGCUACACACGUCAUACAAUGGCCGGUACAGAGGGCUGCCAACCCGCGAGGGGGAGCUAAUCCCAGAAAACCGGUCGUAGUCCGGAUCGCAGUCUGCAACUCGACUGCGUGAAGUCGGAAUCGCUAGUAAUCGCGGAUCAGCUUGCCGCGGUGAAUACGUUCCCGGGUCUUGUACACACCGCCCGUCACACCAUGGGAGCGGGUUCUGCCAGAAGUAGUUAGCCUAACCGCAAGGGGGGCGAUUACCACGGCAGGGUUCGUGACUGGGGUGAAGUCGUAACAAGGUA